rnacentral:rRNA from 1 species
GCAGUAUAUUAACUGUGCAAAGGUAGCAUAAUCAUUUGUUAUUUAAUUGAUAACUUGUAUGAAUGGUUUUAUAAAAUAUAUUCUUUUUUUAUUUUUUAUUUAUAAUUUUAUUUUAAAGUCAAAAAGCUUUAAUUUUUUUAUUAGACGAUAAGACCCUUUAAAACUUUAAUUUUUAUUUAAAUAAUAUUUAUUGAUUUAUAUAUAUUAAUUUUAUAAAUAUUUUUGUUGGGGUGACAGUUAAUUUUUAAAAACUUUAACUUUUAUUUAUUUCAUUUAUUUAUGAUUUUCUUGAUCCAAUAUUUUUGAUUAUAAGAUUAAGUUACUUUAGGGAUAACAGCGUAAUUUUAUUGGAGAGUUCUUAUUAAUAAUAAAGUUUGCGACCUCGAUGUUGGAUUAAA